AGGAAGGGACAGAAAGAACGAACUUGCAAGGAACAGCCUUCUGGCAGGUGCAAGAGCAGAGACCUYCUCAUGUGCUCCUGGUUGUCUCUUCUAACUGAAAUUGCUGUGACUUUCUGCAGAGAUGCAAGUGCAAGAGGACUGGAAACCAGAUGAGUUUAUUCUGCAAUGGGUUUUCACAUAUGAGACAGAAGAGAUUUUGUAUCGCUGAAUGAUUACAAACCUCAAACUCAAGACAACUACUAGCAAAUCCCAGUCACUGAGGGAUGGGAGGAUCAGCUGUGGAGUUGGUCUGGAUGGGAGCUAAGCUGAUACCAGGCAGCUAAUGAGGAUCUUCCCAUUGGUAUCAAUGGAAACCUGAAAUCACCAAUUUUUCCUCAAAUCUCUGAAACACUUUGGACUACUUUGUUUGAAAGGGGACGUCAAAUCACAGCGAGUUCUUGACUACUGGACACCGUCCCUUAGAUUCACAGUUUUACUCCAGUUCUAGCAAAAUAUCUGAGCUUUCCAGCAAGCAAAAUAUAGUAUGAAAAUGCGUGCAGGCUCUCAGCUCCAGGAAAGGACUCAGGGAGCAGCAGGAUCCAUACACCCUCGGAUUCCUCUSAAAGGCAGAACAUCACAGCGUUUGCCAGCGCCAGAGUUUUCCAAGAUGCAGGCUACGAGGAAUGAAUAAUUCAAAUUGCUUCAUCUAUCCACUGAAGRCACUACUUGGAAUAAAAAGAUGCCUGCAUGGUAGCGGUGAGGCAGGAACCUUGGUUUCCUUUUGCUUUUAAGGUCAAAGAUUGGAUCGUGUGCUAACUGUUGUUACAGGCUGUGCCUUUACACUUGCCCAGAAUUAUGACCUUUCAAUUGUAGUCUAAAUACUGGGUUUAGUCAUAGGAUCAUCUCAGUGCCCC